rnacentral:tRNA from 1 species
GCCCUCAUAGCUCAAUUUGGGUAGAGCAACUGAUUUGUAAUCAGUAGGUUCGCGGUUCGAGUCCGUGUGAGGGCACCA